CCUCACUAGGACACUUCUUUGUUAAAACCAUGAAGUUCCUGCUGUUCUUGUUUUCUUUGGUGGCCUUUCAAAAAUGUAAGUGUAUUCUAUGGGAAGAUAAAAAAUAUAGGUUUAUUUCAUGCAGUGAUUAGAAGAUGUUCAUUAGAUGAUGCUCAAUUCAAUUCAUUAUUGUUCUCUCUUUUCAAGGGGUCCUUUCCGAUGUUCAGCUUGUUUCUUCUGGGCCAAGCACAGUGAGACCUGGAGAGAACCUUCGUCUGCUUUGUAAAGUUACUGGUGUCUCCAUCACUGAUUCAAGUUCUGUUUGGAACUGGAUCCGUCAGCCUGCUGGCAAAGGUCUAGAGUGGGUUGCAAGAAUAUACCCCUAUGAUGGGAGAAAAUGGUUUGCUGCUUCUCUUCAGAGCCGUGUAACAAUUUCUUCAGACAACUCCAAGAACGAGUUCUCCCUCCAACUGAACUCCCUGACAGCUGCAGACUCAGCCGUGUAUUUCUGUGCUCGAGAUAG